rnacentral:rRNA from 1 species
AAUCUACCUAAAAAUGGGGAAUAACUGUUGGAAACGACAGCUAAUACCGCAUAAUCCCUUCGGGGCAAAGGCUUCGGUCGUUUUUAGAUGAGCCCGCGUUAGAUUAGGCUGUUGGUGAGGUAACGGCUCACCAAACCUGCAAUCUAUAGCUGGUCUGAGAGGAUGAUCAGCCACACUGGGACUGAGACACGGCCCAGACUCCUACGGGAGGCAGCAGUGGGGAAUAUUGGACAAUGGGGGAAACCCUGAUCCAGCAAUGCCGCGUGAGUGAUGAAGGCCCUAGGGUUGUAAAACUCUUUCAGAAGUGAAGAUGAUGACGGUAACUUCAGAAGAAGCUCCGGCUAACUCCGUGCCAGCAGCCGCGGUAAUACGGAGGGAGCUAGCGU